GAUGAACGCUGGCGGCGUGCUUAACACAUGCCAGUCGAACGAAGCACCUCUCCCGAAGAUUGACACAGCUUGCUGUAGAUUGAUUCAUUUGAGGUGACUGAGUGGCGGACGGGUGAGUAACGCGUGGGUAACCUGCCUCAUAGAGGGGGACAACAGUUGGAAACGACUGCUAAUACCGCAUAGUAAGAAGAAUUCGCAUGUUUUCUUCUUGAAAGAUUUAUCGCUAUGAGAUGGACCCGCGUCUGAUUAGCUAGUUGGUAAGGUAACGGCUUACCAAGGCGACGAUCAGUAGCCGGCUUGAGAGAGUGAACGGCCACAUUGGGACUGAGACACGGCCCAAACUCCUACGGGAGGCAGCAGUGGGGAAUAUUGCACAAUGGGGGAAACCCUGAUGCAGCGACGCCGCGUGAGUGAAGAAGUAUUUCGGUAUGUAAAGCUCUAUCAGCAGGGAAGAUAAUGAAGGUACCUAACGAAGAAGCCCCGGCUAACUACGUG
rnacentral:rRNA from 1 species